rnacentral:rRNA from 1 species
GAUGAACGCUGGCGGCGUGCCUAAUACAUGCAAGUCGAGCGAACGGACGAGAAGCUUGCUUCUCUGAUGUUAGCGGCGGACGGGUGAGUAACACGUGGAUAACCUACCUAUAAGACUGGGAUAACUUCGGGAAACCGGAGCUAAUACCGGAUGAUAUUUUGAACCGCAUGGUUCAAAAGUGAAAGACGGUCUUGCUGUCACUUAUAGAUGGAUCCGCGCUGCAUUAGCUAGUUGGUAAGGUAACGGAUUACCAAGGCAAUGAUGCAUAGCCGACCUGAGAGGGUGAUCGGCCACACUGGAACUGAGACACGGUCCAGACUCCUACGGGAGGCAGCAGUAGGGAAUCUUCCGCAAUGGGCGAAAGCCUGACGGAGCAACGCCGCGUGAGUGAUGAAGGUCUUCGGAUCGUAAAACUCUGUUAUUAGGGAAGAACAUAUGUGUAAGUAACUGUGCACAUCUUGACGGUACCUAAUCAGAAAGCCACGGCUAACUACGUG